rnacentral:rRNA from 1 species
CCGAUGACUCCGGGGGAUAGCCUUUCGAAAGAAAGAUUAAUACCCGAUGGCAUAGUUCUUCCGCAUGGUAGAACUAUUAAAGGAUUUCGGUCAUCGAUGGGGAUGCGUUCCAUUAGGUUGUUGGCGGGGUAACGGCCCACCAAGCCUUCGAUGGAUAGGGGUUCUGAGAGGAAGGUCCCCCACAUUGGAACUGAGACACGGUCCAAACUCCUACGGGAGGCAGCAUG